rfam:Oryza rufipogon genomic scaffold, chr11
AAAAAGACAAACCGCGGGUUUGCGUGCCAAUAUUUGACUGUCCGUCUUAUAUGAAUUUUUUUUAUAAUUAGUAUUUUUAUUGUUGUUAGAUGAUAAAAUAUGAUGAAUACUUUAUGCGUGACUUAUCUUUUCAAUUUUUUCAUAAUUUUUUUAAAUAAGACGGACGGUCAAACAUUGGACACGGAAAUCAGGGUUUAUCUUUUU